GUCAAACGCCAGCUUGGCAGCCUAUCUGGAAAGCUGGUAGCACCGAGACAGAGUGAUUAUGAUGAUUGUUCUCAGCCUCCCUGGGAGGUCUCUCUUGUGCUUUUCUGAACAUUUGGAGCUUGUUUCACCUCUGUAUGUGCUGCUGAAGACGGAAAGGAAAGAGCAAUUUAUACAGUGAUUUCAAUGUGGAAUUGACUUCAGGCUUUACUGCUAUUUGUCACCAUUCAGGAAAUCCAUCCCUGGCUCUAGAAGAACACUCAGUCCCUGCUGACAGUCUGAAAGAGGGAGAGCAAAUAGAUAGCAGAGCUGCAGCUAUUAAGACCAACAGGCACAUACUUUAUUCCAACUCAAUUUUCCAUUCCCAAAUGCCUUUUGAAGAAAAUCUUUCUGUUGGAGAGAACAUGAAGGAAGGCUGUGGGUUGUACCAGCUCUUCCAGCCUCCCCACUUUCCGUGUACCUGUGACCAUGGCAGUACAGCCAGGAUUACAUCUAAAGUGAAGACAGAAAAACCAUGAUGAAGGCUUAUGCUAUUUUCAUGAUGGAUAUGAUGCUUAUGAUGCUCACAGAAAUGAAAAGGUGUUUGUCAUGCCA